rnacentral:rRNA from 1 species
UAGGGAAUCUUCCACAAUGGACGCAAGUCUGAUGGAGCAACGGCCGCGUGAGUGAAGAAGGCUUUCGGGUCGUAAAACUCUGUUAUUGAAGAAGAACGUGUGUGACAGUAACUGGUCAUGCAGUGACGGUAUUCAAUCAGAAAGUCACGGCUAACUACGUGCCAGCAGCCGCGGUAAUACGUAGGUGGCAAGCGUUGUCCGGAUUUAUUGGGCGUAAAGCGAGUGCAGGCGGUCUUUUAAGUCUGAUGUGAAAGCCUUCGGCUUAACCGAAGAAGGGCAUCGGAAACUGGGAGACUUGAGUGCA